CCUACGGGCGGCAGCAGUGGGGAAUAUUGGGCAAUGGACGCAAGUCUGACCCAGCAACGCCGCGUGAAGGAAGAAGGCUUUCGGGUUGUAAACUUCUUUUAAGGGGGAAGAGCAGAAGACGGUACCCCUUGAAUAAGCCACGGCUAACUACGUGCCAGCAGCCGCGGUAAUACGUAGGUGGCAAGCGUUGUCCGGAUUUACUGGGUGUAAAGGGCGUGCAGCCGGAGAGGCAAGUCAGAUGUGAAAUCCGCGGGCUCAACUCGCGAACUGCAUUUGAAACUGCUUCCCGUGAGUAUCGGAGAGGUAAUCGGAAUUCCUAGUGUAGCGGUGAAAUGCGUAGAUAUUAGGAAGAACACCAGUGGCGAAGGCGGAUUACUGGACGACAACUGACGGUGAGGCGCGAAAGCGUGGGGAGCAAACAGGAUUAGAUACCCUUGUAGUC
rnacentral:rRNA from 1 species